ACGAACGCUGGCGGCAUGCCUCACCCAUGCCAGUCGAACGAGACCUUCGGGUCUAGUGGCGCACGGGUGCGUAACGCGUGGGAACCUGCCCUUAGGUCCGGAAUAACUCCCCGAAAGGGGUGCUAAUACCGGAUAAUGUCUUCGGACCAAAGAUUUACCGCCUUUGGAUGGGCCCGCGUUGGAUUAGCUAGUUGGUAGGGUAAAAGCCUACCAAGGCGACGAUCCAUAGCUGGUCUGAGAGGAUGAUCAGCCACACUGGGACUGAGACACGGCCCAGACUCCUACGGGAGGCAGCAGUGGGGAAUAUUGGACAAUGGGCGAAAGCCUGAUCCAGCAAUGCCGCGUGAGUGAUGAAGGCCUUAGGGUUGUAAAGCUCUUUUACCCGGGAUGAUAAUGACAGUACCGGGAGAAUAAGCUCCGGCUAACUCCGUG
rnacentral:rRNA from 1 species